rfam:Trichobilharzia regenti genome assembly, scaffold: TRE_scaffold0008720
AGCAAGCUGACGAGUCCCAAAUAGGACGAAAUGCGCGUUAUCCUGGAU